GCCGUACUAGAGAAAUGGUUAACUCGUCGGCCUUCUAAUUGUUUAUCAUUUGAUAGCCGAAGAUUCUCGGUUCGAGUCCGGGGUACGGUG